rnacentral:rRNA from 1 species
GACGAACCGUGCGAACGUUAUUCGGAAUCACUGGGCUUAAAGCGCGUGUAGGCGGGAGGGCACGUCCGUCGCUGAAAUCCCCCGGCUCAACCGGGGAACGGGCGCGGAUACGACCUUCCUUGAGGGGCGUAGGGGGACCUGGAACUUCCGGUGGAGCGGUGAAAUGCGUUGAGAUCGGAAGGAACGCCCGUGGCGAAGGCGGCAUUCUGGACCAUAACUGACACUGAGAGACGAAAGCCAGGGGAGCAAACGGG